CUGGGUGACGAGCGGCGGACGGGUGAGUAAUGUCUGGGAAACUGCCUGAUGGAGGGGGAUAACUACUGGAAACGGUAGCUAAUACCGCAUAACGUCGCAAGACCAAAGAGGGGGACCUUCGGGCCUCUUGCCAUCAGAUGUGCCCAGAUGGGAUUAGCUAGUAGGUGGGGUAAUGGCUCACCUAGGCGACGAUCCCUAGCUGGUCUGAGAGGAUGACCAGCCACACUGGAACUGAGACACGGUCCAGACUCCUACGGGAGGCAGCAGUGGGGAAUAUUGCACAAUGGGCGCAAGCCUGAUGCAGCCAUGCCGCGUGUGUGAAGAAGGCCUUCGGGUUGUAAAGCACUUUCAGCGAGGAGGAAGGUGGUGAG
rnacentral:rRNA from 1 species